UUGAGUAAAAGUUAUCUUGGUGUACAAUAAAUUUAUUGUACACCUAGUGCGCACAAGACCUUUUGUAUUUUAUCUGGAAAAAAUUCUUUUUUAUCUGAAAAUAAACUUACACCAAAACCCCAAAGGAAAUAUUUAACUGAUUAUCGGGGUUGCCGACUGAAGAAAAUUACCAAGAAUACCAACCACCAGCUACUCAGUCGUCGGCGGCGGAGGCAGAGGCAGAGGCGGAGACGGAGGGCAAAGGCUUUUGAUUUCUAAUUUGUAGGGAUUGUGCAAAAUGGAUCAGAAUUUCUCGAGUGUUGCUUCGAAGAAGAUUAUGUCACCGUGUGAUGUCGAGGCUUUGAAGAAAUGCUUACAGGAAAACAAAGGCGAUUAUGUAAAGUGCCAAGCACAAAUUGAAGCGUUCAAGUCUUCGUGUUCUAUCAAGAAACAGGAUUCUUCUUCGAGUAUUAACAACAGAUAAAGCAGAACAUUCUUGCUUUCAGAAUUCAGAUGUUAAACUAUGUAUUCUUAGAUGUGGCAAACCUCUUGACUCGUAGAAGUUUGUUCUAUUUGUUUCUGUACUUGUUCACAGAUUUUGAUUGGAACUCUGUAAUGCUCUUACCUUAUAUCAGCUGAUUUCCUGUAAUAAGAAUCUGUUUCAAAUAAUUAACUCCUUCAGAAUUACAGUUUUAGUUUCAAGCUCAAA